rnacentral:rRNA from 1 species
CCUACGGGGGGCAGCAGUGGGGGAUAUUGCACAAUGGGGGGAACCCUGAUGCAGCGACGCCGCGUGGGUGAAGGAGUGCUUCGGCAUGUAAAGCCCUAUCGGCAGGGAAGAAGCAAGACGGUACCUGACUAAGAAGCCCCGGCUAACUACGUGCCAGCAGCCGCGGUAAUACGUAGGGGGCGAGCGUUAUCCGGAUUCACUGGGUGUAAAGGGAGCGUAGACGGCCAUGCAAGCCAGGGGUGAAAGCCCGGGGCCCAACCCCGGGACUGCCCUUGGAACUGGGCGGCUAGAGUGCGGGAGGGGCAGGCGGAAUUCCUGGUGGAGCGGUGAAAUGCGUAGAUAUCAGGAGGAACACCGGCGGCGAAGGCGGCCUGCUGGACCGCGACUGACGUUGAGGCUCGAAAGCGUGGGGAGCGAACAGGAUUAGAUACCCCGGUAGUC